UGUGGACAGGCUGCUGACCCACCGGCUGCUAGGUCGCUCUCACAUGAAUGCCUGGUCCCUUUCGAGUCUAGAGUAGGGCACUGUAACUUCUGGAACUGGAGUGACAGAGCGAUCUGAGCCACCAUGUUGAUGGUGAGAGAAAACAGCAACAACAAAAACUGAGGUUCUGCAACAGAACCUAUGAAGAACUUCCUAACAGCUAUCCUUGAACUCUCUGUAAAGCAAAUGGGCCCCAGCUCAUUGAGUCCACUGGAUCCAACUGGAUGCCUUUGAACUUACACUCUGGCCAGAGCUUCAGGUACUGACUUCAAUCAACAUGAGGACUUGAAUCAGGAUAAGGACUUCAAACAAGACCUUCAAUGAAACAUCUCCCACCAAACAGAGACUGGAUACAUAUGUUGCAGAUAAUUCACUCAAGACUUUCACUACUCUAACAUUUUUUUCCUACAGGACCUCACAAGGGUACUGUCAUCCCAUUUCAGCAGGAAGUAAUUUGGAGAAUACUAUACCUUGUUUCUCCACCAUUGACACUAAGGAUAACAUACACCUAGUUAGAGCUAGUUUCCAGUUUAGGUUUGGGUUUGGAAGGAGGUGUUCAAGCAUGGACAUCUCUUUCAGAUGACUUAAGGGUUUAGUUGGAAUAGAUAUAGUUAGGAUGUGAUACAGUAUAUUAUUAUAUCUUCUUGUAAUUCAUCUUUGUGAUUGCUAAUUAUAGAUAAAAUACACUGUUAAGUUUAAAACCUCUUUAGACUGAAAGGGGAAUUGUAGGGGAAAAUCCUGUUUAGAGGUAUUGCUGAUCACACCUGCUUGUGGCUGGCCACAGGUCAUACUGACCAUGCCAGCUUGGGUGUGGUCAGAGUUACAUAACAAGGGUUUUUAAAGGAGGGAGGCAUGCACACAGCUCUCUCUUUCAUCUGGCUGAGCUGAGUGGGAAGCAUUUCUGGGUCCAUCCUGCUCUGGUGCAAAC